rnacentral:rRNA from 1 species
CGCUGGCGGCGUGCCUAACACAUGCAAGUCAAGGGGAAACGGGUAGCAAUAUCCGGAGUACACUGGCGCACGGGUGAGUAACGCGUAGGUAACCUGCCUUCAGGACGGGGAUAAUUCAGCGAAAGUUGGACUAAUACCCGAUGACAUUUCGGUGCAGCAUUGCAUUGAAAUCAAAUGCCCGCAAGGGUGCCUGUAGAUGGGCCUGCGUCCCAUUAGGUAGUUGGUGAGGUAACGGCUCACCAAGCCCACGAUGGGUAGCUGGUCUGAGAGGAUGAUCAGCCACACUGGAACUGAGACACGGUCCAGACUCCUACGGGAGGCAGCAGUGAGGAAUAUUGCGCAAUGGCCGAAAGGCUGACGCAGCGACGCCGCGUGAGGGAUGAAGUCCGUUAGGAUGUAAACCUCUUUUGCAGGGGAUGAAUGUCCCGACCUGUCGGGAUUGACAGUACUCUGUGAAUAAGGAUCGGCUAACUACGUGCCAGCAGCUGC